rnacentral:rRNA from 1 species
GACGUAGGGGGCCAGCGUUGUUCGGAAUUACUGGGUGUAAAGGGUUCGUAGGCGGUGUAGCAAGUCGGGAGUGAAAUCUCUGGGCUUAACCCAGAGGCUGCUUCCGAAACUGCUGUGCUUGAGUGUGGGAGAGGCGCGUGGAAUUGCAGGUGUAGCGGUGAAAUGCGUAGAUAUCUGCAGGAACACCAGUGGCGAAAGCGGCGCGCUGGACCACUACUGACGCUGAGGAACGAAAGCUAGGGGAGCAAACAGG